rnacentral:lncRNA from 1 species
CAUUCUUUUGAACUCUGGUCAACGGUUUCACUCCGGAGAAGACAUCGGCAAGUUCAUCAAUUCUCUCCACACUUUCUUUCUUGUUCAUUUCCCACUUGUCCUGUUUCUCUGAGAGCAUUUUCUUGAAAAGCUCCUUAACGACAUACUCAAACUGCGCUGUGUUCAAUAGUAUAUCAAACCAGUUACUUGCACUGUAACCGCUGGUCAAAACAAUCUCACGGAUGGCACGACAACGUUUGUGGAUUUCUGAAACU